ensembl:lncRNA
CUAGAUUAAAGGAAAUUAAAGGGAGUGUGUCCACUCCUGGUCUGAAUAAACUGGUUUUGCUGUAUGCUGCAGCAGCACGUACGUGCAGUAUUAAUGGAAACAAGAACUAAAGCUGUACUAAGUGCCACGGUAUUGGAGGACAUAAUAUGUAAUGACCAAGAUUUAGGAAUACCUUGCUACAUAAAGUAGUAGCUCUCAUAGUUUUUAGUCCACUAUUCUGUGUUCGAGUCACAUCCUACCAGGACCAUUCUGACUGUGCUUUGAUGCUUUUCAGUACAGAUCUUGAGGCAUUCAUGGCAAAGCCUAGAGCACCCUGAGAAAUGAGGAAAAAGCAGCACCAGCUGAGGCUUCCGGGAAGUGGUCACACUAAUUCCUUAUUUUCCACCACUGCCUUUAGUACUGGAGCGGCUGCUGUUGCAUCCUUAUGUUGCUGCACCCUGAGUAACCAGAAGUUCUCACUGAUUGCUGCAGCUCUAAGUGAUAGCCUACAUGGUGGUUUUUCAGAGUUCACCGAUGACAUGACAUUUACAAAUUUCUGAUCCUCAUCACUUUGGUGAAAGCUGCCUCACUCACUCAUGCCCUCUGGAAGCCUCUGCCCUCCUGCAGCUGCUUCAGGACCCUGAAACUGCUUCUGCUGAGAUCCUGGAGAAAAACAGUGUUGAUAACACACCAAUGUUUCUAGUUGCUGCUAAGCAGCGUUACACAGAGCCAAGGUUAUUCUCAGUGAAGAACCCAAGGAGCAGGGAGGGGACAGAAGCAGGACAAUUGACUUAAACUAGCCAAAGGGAUACUUCAUACCAUAUGACAUCAUGUGGAAGGAGUUCAGGAGGGUUCCUUUCACUACGUCUUGGGGAUUACAAUUACCAGAUGUUCAUGGGAGGUGUUCUGAGAGUGGGAUGUGGCUCCUUUCUUUCAAGAUGUAUGCCAGUAAUAUUGAUGAGAAUCAAUACAUUUUUACUAAGAAGACUAAUGGACAUUUCUUCAGAGACAGCCAAGGACCUAAAUAAUGAGCGUCUUCAACGAAGCAUGUUUAUCUAUGCGUCCUUAAGUCGUAAAGGAAUAUCUAGCUUCCAAAUGCCAAUACUAAAAAAAACUAAAGAAGGAGUCCAGUGGAGGGCCACAAAGAUGAUGAAGGGACUGGAGCAUCUUCUUUACGAGGAAAGGCUGAGGCACCUGGGACACAUUGGCAUGGAGAAGAAAAGGCUGAGAUGUUGCAGUCUCUUUCUAUGGAGAUACUCAAGACUUGUCUGGAUGCCUACCUAUGCAACCUAUUGUGGGGUACCUGCUUUGGCAGAGGAGUUGGACUCCAUGAACUUUUGAGGUCCCUCCCAACCCCUGCAGUUCUGUAAUUCUGCAACAAUAAG